rnacentral:rRNA from 1 species
UGGGGAAUAUUGCACAAUGGAGGGAACUCUGAUGCAGCGACGCCGCGUGAGUGAUGAAGGAAUUCGUUUCGUAAAACUCUGUUCUAUGGGAAGAAAAUGACAGUACUAUACGAAUAAGGUCCGGCUAAUUACGUGCCAGCAGCCGCGGUAAUACGUAAGGACCGAGCGUUGUCCGGAAUCAUUGGGCGUAAAGGGUACGUAGGCGGUUAGAAAAGUUAGAAGUGAAAGGCUAUAGCUCAACUAUAGUAAGCUUUUAAAACUGUUUAACUUGAGAGAUGGAAGGGAAAGUGGAAUUACGAGUGUAGCGGUGAAAUGCGCAGAUAUUAGGAGGAAUACCGGUGGCGAAGGCGACUUGCUGGCCAUUAUCUGACGCUGAGGUACGAAAGCGUGGGUAGCAAACAGG